rnacentral:rRNA from 1 species
AUUCCAGCUCCAAUAGCGUAUAUUAAAGUUGUUGCGGUUAAAAAGCUCGUAGUUGGAUUUCUGCUGAAACAAACCGGUCCGCCCUCUGGGUGAGCAUCUGGUUUUGUUUUGGCAUAUGCUUAGACUUUGCAGCUGCACUUGACUGUGUGGUGCGAAGGCUGAGCCUUUUACUUUGAGGAAAUCAGAGUGUUUCAAGCAGGCCAUUGCCUUGAAUACACUAGCAUGGAAUAAUAUGAUAUGACUGUGGUUUUAUUUUGUUGGCUUUUAGAAUUAAAGUAAUGGUUAAUAGGGAUAGUUGGGGGCAUUCAUAUUUAACUGUCAGAGGUGAAAUUCUUGGAUUUGUUAAGGAUGAACGACUGCGAAAGCAUUUGCCAAGGAUGCUUUCAUUG